rnacentral:rRNA from 1 species
CAGUAGCCGCGGGAAUACGUAGGGUGCAAGCGUUAAUCGGAAUUACUGGGCGUAAAGCGUGCGCAGGCGGUGUUGUAAGACUGAUGUGAAAUCCCCGGGCUCAACCUGGGAACUGCAUUUGUGACUGUAUAGCUAGAGUACGGCAGAGGGGGAUGGAAUUCCGCGUGUAGCAGUGAAAUGCGUAGAUAUGCGGAGGAACACCGAUGGCGAAGGCAAUCCCCCGGGCCUGUACUGACGCUCAUGCACGAAAGCGUGGGGAGCAAACAGGAUUAGAUACCCGAGUAGUCCCUGUCUCUUAUAC